CAUCGCCCGCUGCCUGACCGUCAAGGCGGUCUUGCCUGAGCGAUUUUGAAUCUGGUCGUACCGCUGGCCCACAAGGCCACCGACAUGCGCUCUAGGGGUACCGCCGGCAGCAGCCGGGCUGGCCUGGCGCAAUUUCACAGCUGAUCGGCAUGCCUUCGGCUGUGCGAUGUAGAUCGUACGAAAUGACG
rnacentral:sRNA from 1 species